rnacentral:rRNA from 1 species
UCCUUGAGGAGUGGCUUCCGGAGCUAACGCGUUAAGUCGACCGCCUGGGGAGUACGGCCGCAAGGUUAAAACUCAAAUGAAUUGACGGGGGCCCGCACAAGCGGUGGAGCAUGUGGUUUAAUUCGAUGCAACGCGAAGAACCUUACCUACUCUUGACAUCCAGAGAANUUGGCAGAGAUGCUUUGGUGCCUUCGGGAACUCUGAGACAGGUGCUGCAUGGCUGUCGUCAGCUCGUGUUGUGAAAUGUUGGGUUAAGUCCCGCAACGAGCGCAACCCUUAUCCUUUGUUGCCAGCGAUUCGGUCGGGAACUCAAAGGAGACUGCCGGUGAUAAACCGGAGGAAGGUGGGGAUGACGUCAAGUCAUCAUGGCCCUUACGAGUAGGGCUACACACGUGCUACAAUGGCGCAUACAAAGAGAAGCGACCUCGCGAGAGCAAGCGGACCUCAUAAAGUGCGUCGUAGUCCGGAUCGGAGUCUGCAACUCGACUCCGUGAAGUCGGAAUCGCUAGUAAUCGUGGAUCAGAAUGCCACGGUGAAUACGUUCCCGGGCCUUGUACACACCGCCCGUCACACCAUGGGAGUGGGUUGCAAAAGAAGUAGGUAGCUUAACCUUCGGGAGGGCGCUUACCACUUUGUGAUUCAUGACNGGGGUGAAGUCGUAACAAGGUA